UAUCUCUGUAGAGUCUGCAUAUCAAUAAGCGGAGGAAAAGAAACUAACUAGGAUUCCCUCAGUAACGGCGAGUGAGGCGGGAAGAGCUCAAAUUUGAAAUCUUCAAGGUUCUACCUUGACGAAUUGUAGUUUAAAGAAGUGUUUUCUGUUGGAGUUUUGGUAAAAGUUCUUUGGAAUAGGACAUCAUAGAGGGUGAGAAUCCCGUAUUUGACCAUUAUUUCCAGCUUUGUGAUACACUUUCAAAGAGUCGGAUUGUUUGGGAAUGCAGUCCAAAAUGGGUGGUAAAUUUCAUCUAAAGCUAAAUAUUGGCGAGAGACCGAUAGCGAACAAGUACCGUGAGGGAAAGAUGAAAAGAACUUUGAAAAGAGAGUUAAACAGUACGUGAAAUUGUCAAAAGGGAAGCGUUUGACACCAGUGUUGUUUUCUCGAAAAUCAAUUAAAAAAAGUUGGAUUUUGUAUUGUUAAGACCUUAUCAGCUUACUGUACUCUUUUCUUGCUUUUUUUAAUGCACUUUUCGUUUAACAAGUCAACAUCAAUUUCUUUUGUUGUAAAAGGGUCAUUGGAAGGUGGCUUUCUUUUCGGAGAAAGUGUUUAUAGCCUUUGGCUUCUGCAAUCGGAGAGAUUGAGGUCUGCAGCGUAGACCCUUCGGGGUUAGAUACAUUUGUGCUAAGUUAUAGCCUUUCAUAGACAACUUGUUGACUAUGAUCAGUCAUGUAGCUUACUCGCUUAUGCUAUUUUACCUACGCUUAGGAUGUUGAAGAUGUAGCACAUCA
rnacentral:rRNA from 1 species